ACUUUCUUAGUAUAAUUAGUACCACUGACUUCCAAUCAGUAAGAUCCGUUUAACAUGGAAGAGAGUA
rnacentral:tRNA from 1 species